AGAGUUCGAUCCUGGCUCAGGACGAACGCUGGCGGCGCGCCUAACACAUGCAAGUCGAACGAGCGAGAGAGAGCUUGCUUUCUCAAGCGAGUGGCGAACGGGUGAGUAACGCGUGAGGAACCUGCCUCAAAGAGGGGGACAACAGUUGGAAACGACUGCUAAUACCGCAUAAGCCCACAGCUCGGCAUCGAGCAGAGGGAAAAGGAGCAAUCCGCUUUGAGAUGGCCUCGCGUCCGAUUAGCUGGUUGGUGAGGUAAUGGCCCACCAAGGCGACGAUCGGUAGCCGGACUGAGAGGUUGAACGGCCACAUUGGGACUGAGACACGGCCCAGACUCCUACGGGAGGCAGCAGUGGGGAAUAUUGCACAAUGGGGGAAACCCUGAUGCAGCGACGCCGCGUGGAGGAAGAAGGUCUUCGGAUUGUAAACACCUGUUGUUGAGGAAGAUAAUGACGGUACUCAACAAGGAAGUGACGGCUAACUACGUGCCAGCAGCCGCGGUAAAACGUAGGUCACAAGCGUUGUCCGGAAUUACUGGGUGUAAAGGGAGCGCAGGCGGGAAGACAAGUUGGAAGUGAAAUCUAUGGGCUCAACCCAUAAACUGCUUUCAAAACUGUNUUUCUUAAGUAGUGCAGAGGUAGGCGGAAUUCCCGGUGUAGCGGUGGAAUGCGUAGAUAUCGGGAGGAACACCAGUGGCGAAGGCGGCCUACUGGGCACCAACUGACGCUGAGGCUCGAAAGUGUGGGUAGCAAACAGGAUUAGAUACNCUGGUAGUCCACACCGUAAACGAUGAUUACUAGGUGUUGGAGGAUUGACCCCUUCAGUGCCGCAGUUAACACAAUAAGUAAUCCACCUGGGGAGUACGACCGCAAGGUUGAAACUCAAAGGAAUUGACGGGGGCCCGCACAAGCAGUGGAGUAUGUGGUUUAAUUCGACGCAACGCGAAGAACCUUACCAAGUCUUGACAUCCUGCGACGCACAUAGAAAUAUGUGUUUCCUUCGGGACGCAGAGACAGGUGGUGCAUGGUUGUCGUCAGCUCGUGUCGUGAGAUGUUGGGUUAAGUCCCGCAACGAGCGCAACCCUUGCUGUCAGUUACUACGCAAGAGGACUCUGGCAGGACUGCCGUUGACAAAACGGAGGAAGGUGGGGAUGACGUCAAAUCAUCAUGCCCUUUAUGACUUGGGCUACACACGUACUACAAUGGCGUUAAACAAAGAGAAGCAAGACCGCGAGGUGGAGCAAAACUCAGAAACAACGUCCCAGUUCGGACUGCAGGCUGCAACUCGCCUGCACGAAGUCGGAAUUGCUAGUAAUCGUGGAUCAGCAUGCCACGGUGAAUACGUUCCCGGGCCUGUACACACCGCCCGUCA
rnacentral:rRNA from 1 species